UUUACAAACGAGUAUUUU
rnacentral:snRNA from 1 species